UAAAGCUUUAUUCAGACAUUGUUCUGUUCUUGAAUGUUUACAGACGGUGAACCCACAUCCGUCCAUCAGGUCCCUCACUGCUGCAGUCAGACUGAAUCUGAUCAUGAUGAGAGAGGGACAUCGAGUCCUUGUCUGAGUGCACAGAGAGGAUGAGGAAGACCACGAUGAAGACCCUGAAACACACAACCCUGAACAAGAGCAGGAGAACAUGUGUGGGACGAUCUGACUGCUGCUGUGUCUGCUCCAAACAUCUGUGUCUGCUCACCAUGAGCAUGACUACCUGUAAAACAUUUACACAGAGUAAAACACUUUAUAUCAUGUUGUCAGCAUUCUAUUUAUUGCUGAAUUUAAUUUUACAUUUUUACAAUUGCAUGUUAAUUUGCUAUAGCUACAUUAUUUCUGUGGUGUAGUGAACUGGACUGGUGAGCAGAAGGUUUCUGGAUCAAUCUCCACCGGUGUGUCUUUACUCCAGGUGACUCCAGAGGGAUUGAGAUCCUGUAAUAACAGCACUAUGUUCUCGCUGGCUCUGGGGUCACUGAAGAUGAAGAGACCACAGCAGCAUCUGGCCCUGAUGAGAAAACAAGAGGAGAUGCAGUGAUGGAGUAUUUCACCCAUGACACUCCAUCUUCUUCAUCCUCAGUGCACACGGCAGUCUGCAGACAUUUCAGAUCCUAUAAAGAUGCACAAACACAAAACAAAAGCAGUCAUUUUAACAGCACAGUGUCGUUUCAUUUCUGUAUUAGAAGUAACAGAAUGAUCUUACUUUAGAUUUUUCUUUCAGGUUUUUUUCCACAGAUGCUGCUGUCACCUGCUCCACCACAAAAGAUCUGCAUCAAAUGUACAGCAAACAAGAAUCAGAAAAGUGCUGUAAUAACUGUUUAUUAAUAAACUACAACUUAAGAUCUAAAA